UAAUUUGCAGAGGGCGCUUUGGCGUUGGCAGCGGUCCAAGUUCCUUGGAACAGGACGUCACAGAGGGUGAGAAUCCCGUACGUGGUCGCUAACCUUCGCCGUGUAAAGCCCCUUCGACGAGUCGAGUUGUUUGGGAAUGCAGCUCUAAAUGGGAGGUAAAUUUCUUCUAAAGCUAAAUACUGGCCAGAGACCGAUAGCGCACAAGUAGAGUGAUCGAAAGAUGAAAAGCACUUUGGAAAGAGAGUCAAAUAGCACGUGAAAUUGUUGAAAGGGAAGCGCUUGCAGCCAGACUUGCCUGUAGUUGCUCAUCCGGGCUUUUGCCCGGUGCACUCUUCUGCGGGCAGGCCAGCAUCAGUUUGGGCGGUUGGAUAAAGGUCUCUGUCAUGUACCUCUCUUCGGGGAGGCCUUAUAGGGGAGACGACAUACAACCAGCCUGGACUGAGGUCCGCGCAUCUGCUAGGAUGCUGGCGUAAUGGCUGUAAGCGGCCCGUCUUGAAACACGGACCAAGGAGUCUAACAUCUAUGCGAGUGUUUGGGUGUCAAGCCCGAGCGCGCAAUGAAAGUGAACGGAGGUGGGACCCCAUUAGGGUGCACCAUCGACCGAUCCUGAAGUCUUCGGAUGGAUUUGAGUAAGAGCAUGGCUGUUGGGACCCGAAAGAUGGUGAACUAUGCUUGAAUAGGGUGAAGCCAGAGGAAACUCUGGUGGAGGCUCGCAGCGGUUCUGACGUGCAAAUCGAUCGUCAAAUUUGG
rnacentral:rRNA from 1 species